rnacentral:rRNA from 1 species
UCCAGACUCCUACGGGAGGCAGCAGUGGGGGAUAUUGCACAAUGGGGGGAACCCUGAUGCAGCGACGCCACGUGGGUGAAGGAGCGUUUCGGCGCGUAAAGCCCCCUCGGCAGGGAAGAAGGAGGACGGUACCUGACUAAGAAGCCCCGGCUAACUACGUGCCAGCAGCCGCGGUAAUACGUAGGGGGCAAGCGUUAUCCGGAUUUACUGGGUGUAAAGGGGGCGCAGACGGCAGCGCAAGCCAGGAGUGAAAGCCCGGGGCCCACCCCCGGGACUGCUCUUGGAACUGCGCGGCUGGAGUGCAGGAGGGGCAGGCGGAAUUCCUGGUGUAGCGGUGAAAUGCGUAGAUAUCAGGAGGAACCCCGGUGGCGAAGGCGGCCUGCUGGACUGCGACUGACGUUGAGGCCCGAAAGCGUGGGGAGCAACCAGGAUUAGAUACCCGCGUAU